CUUCACCGAAAGGAAAUGGACCAAUAUCUUACACUGUGACCAACCUUCAUCCUCAAACAAAAUACACAUUUACCCUCAUCUCUGUAUUUGAGACCAUCACAAGCACUGGAGUCAUCUUUUCGGCAGUAACUGGUAAGAUAUGACCCUCAUGUAAUUGAUAAACACCAUGUCCAUUAAAAGUCAGCAAUGAACGUCAAUUCAAAUGGCACACAAUUUAGUAUUAACCUUGACUUGUUCCUGGUGUUGUUUUGUUUUCAGCUCCCCAAAAUGCAGAAAAUUUCACAUCAACUGGACAAAACGAGACAAGCAUCAAUCUGCAUUGGGCUAUAGUAGACAACAAUGUUAGCUUUGUUCUUCAGUUUGAUGGCAGACAGGAAAAUAUUACUUCACCAGUAGGAGAUGGACCAAUAUCUUAUAUUGUUACCAACCUUCAUCCUCAAACAGAAUACACAUUUACCCUCAUCUCUGUGUUUGAGAACAUCACAAGCACUGGAGUCAUCUUUUCUGCAGUAACUGCUCCCCAAAAUGCAGAAAAUUUCACAUCAACUGGACAAAACGAUACAAGCAUCAAUCUGCAGUGGGCUAAAGUAGACAACAAUGUUAGCUUUGUUCUGCAGUUUGAUGGGGGGCAAUCAUCAGUUAUACAUUCGUACAAUAACUAAUCAAACUUUGGAUGAUUAGACAUAUAAAUAAAUAUUGCUUGAAAGGGAGUGGAAGGAAGCAAACUUAUAUAAUCCCACCCCGUUAUACCCUUACCAUUUUUCAACAUGAUUUAUCAUUAUCCGGUUCCAAACUUUUAUCAGACAGAAUUAAGAAUCUUUCAAUAUCAAUAAAGCACAUGACAAAGAUGAAUUACUUACAUUUUUUGUAAAAAAUAACUUUUAGAAAUCAACAUGGCAAUGAAGUAUCCAAAUAUAUGAAGAUUAUGUUACUUAUAAAAGUCAUUGAUAUCAAAAAUAUAUAUAUAUUAAAAAAAUAAUACUAUAUCAGUAAAAUAGACAUAACACUGUUUUAGGAAUAUUCAUAGUAAAAUUUGAUCAAGUGUCAAAAGUUAAAAAUAUGUGCAAAAUUAUGCUACAUCAGGAAAAAAUCAUGAAUCAAUUUAUCGAUUUUUUUGGAGCAAGUGAAGUAAUGUCAUUAAAAGUCAAUCAAUUUAACCAUUUUCAAUAAUUGAUUAAUCAUUUGUUUUAUUAUUUUUUUGUAUUUUUUUUUCCAUUUUUUUUUUGUUAUGAUAAAGUAAUGCUGUGAAGUAAAAUAAGAAGGGUCCAUAUUUUGUCGAAUGACCAAGGUUGGCAUUUCUUCUUCUGCUGAUUAACAGCCGUUCUUCUUGGUUUAAACAGUUUAUAGUUCUCUUCGAUGUUAUGUCUGCAGACAUUAAAUAAAGGUCCAUAUCCUUCUUCACCAUCUGACCAGAAG
rnacentral:lncRNA from 1 species